AAAUGGCCGCAGUAUUUUAACUGUGCAAAGGUAGCAUAAUCAUUAGUCUUUUAAUUGAAGGCUUGUAUGAAUGGUUGGACGAGAUAUUAACUGUUUCAUAAAAAUUGAGUUAGAAUUUUAUUUUUUAGUUAAAAAGCUAAAAUUUUUUUAAAAGACGAGAAGACCCUAUAGAUCUUUAUAUUUUGUGUAUUAUAAUUAUUUAGAUUAUUUGAGUUAUGAUUAUAUAAAAUAUUUUGUUGGGGUGACAUUAAAAUUUAAUUAACUUUUAAUUAAUAUUUACAUUAAUUUAUGAAUUUUUGAUCCAUUAAUAAUGAUUAAAAAAUUAAGUUACCUUAGGGAUAACAGCGUAAUUUUUUUGAAGAGUUCAUAUCGAUAAAAAAGAUUGCGACCUCGAUGUUGGAUUAAGGUAUAAUUUUGGGUGCAGCAAUUCAAUUAUUAAGUC
rnacentral:rRNA from 1 species